CUUGGGAUGAAUACACAAAUCAAACUUUCAAACCAGUUUAACAAUCCAGAUUGAAAGAUCAGCUCCAACGGAGAGCAUGAAUAGUGUUUUGUUCUUACGUGUUUUUCUUCUGCUUGCUAUUGUAUUCUCAAGCGGUAACCUGAUGGGAGAUGCUUAUAAAUGCAAUUACAAUUAUCAUGUUCCUCAUUGUUUGCCUAAAGAAUGUGAGAGAUUCUGCAAAAUGAACUACAGCGGUGGAGAAGUUGAAGCAAAUUGCGUCAACCCUAUAACAUGUUGUUGCACUCAUGACUGUAGACAAGGAAUGUUUGGAUGAGCUUCUAAGUGAUUUGUGUCUAGUACAUCUUAUUGUUGAAGUUGAUAUCAGAUAAAAGAUAUAUAUUCUCCUAAUGAGAAAUAAUCAAAUAAAUAAAUGAUUUAUGAAGCUUUUCAGUUGGUAAA